rfam:Ciona savignyi cont_27254, whole genome shotgun sequence.
GCAUUGGUGGUUCAGUGGUAGAAUCCUCGCCUGCCACGCGGAGGGCCCGGGUUCGAUUCCCGGCCAAUGCA